rnacentral:rRNA from 1 species
UACGGGGGGGGUAAGCGUUGUUCGGAAUUACUGGGCGUAAAGGGCGCGUAGGCGGCUCGCUAAGUCGGGUGUGAAAACUCUGGGCUCAACCCAGAGCCUGCAUUCGAAACUGACGAGCUAGAGUUCUGGAGGGGAAAGCGGAAUUCCUGGUGUAGCAGUGAAAUGCGUAGAUAUCAGGAGGAACACCGGUGGCGAAGGCGGCUUUCUGGACAGAAACUGACGCUGAUGCGCGAAAGCUAGGGGAGCAAACAGG